rnacentral:lncRNA from 1 species
UAAGGGUGACCACUGUCGUCUGGGUGUGUCCUGUGCUGUUCUUCUAUAUAUUGGUUUUCGUUCUGUAGUUGCUACUAUGCUUGAUUUGCUUUUCUGUUCCUGUAAUUUAGGUGACUUCAUCCUGAGACUUUGAAAUUGUCACUAGUGUGCUGCCGGAAACUUACGUUUUAGCUACUUCGAACUUAAUCGUACUAUAGUUGUUUCCCAUUUUUCUGACGCUGGCUGUUCUAACUUUGCUGCCUGGAAGUGGUGCGAACGGUGCUGGUUGCACUUUGGUUCCCUUCUGUUUGAUUGGAAUGCCCUUGCUAUCGGUGGUAUCAUAUAAGACAGGCUGUCGAUGCUGAGGAUAUUCUCUUCUCUAGGGUGGAUUCCACCUAGACUGGGUCGUUCGUUCCCUGCGACGCCACGGUUUCUCUCUCUUGAUCGACGGCCAUGUGCCACUAUGGCACACCAAGGCCGGCCGAUUUCUGAAUUUCAUCACUCUAAACAUUUCUCUUGUUAACCUCGCACGUAGAGGACGACGUCUAUUUAGGGGGGUAUACUUAUAGUUCUAUAAAGAAGAUGAGCACGGACGGCUUAAUUCUGGGCAUUUUUGUGGGGGGAAUUCAGGCAUUCUAACUCUUCUACCAAUUUACCCAAUGGCAAUUUAACAACGAAGUUCUUUAAAUGGAAUUUACAUGCAUGCAAGAAUCUCCUACCUCAUGUUUUUUUUGAAUUUUAAUAUAAUUUACCUCACAAGCUGUUAAUCCAAAUAGUGUCCCAUCUUUCCCAGUGGAUUUGGCUCGACGAGGACUUCGAAACAAGAUGUUGAUAUGUUUCAACAAUUUUUUUUUGUCAUUACCAGCUAUCAUAUUUUGUUUAUCGUCAUUACGAAACAACAAUUUUGUAUGUUCUUAAAGAGUGCAAUUUUACUACCUCCAUUCCUAAAAGUAAGAUGUAUUUUAUUUCGUUAAGACAUGCAUUUGACCAAUAGUUACUCUAUAAAUACAGAUUCAUAUUUAAAAGUACUUUGUUGUGAUUGCGAUUUUGUAUCACAUAAAUCAAAUACUAAAAGAGUAAUUGUUGGUCAAAGUCUUGUCUUAACGAAAUGAAGUACGGCUUAUUCAUCGGAACGGAGGGAGUAUGUAGAGCUAGGGAGACGGGUAUCCAGGUGUUAAUAAUAAGUAAGAAAAUGCAUCAACCAACACAAGUACCAUGAACCAAACUUUAGUGGUGUAUAUAUCGAUGUUCAAUGGCAACCAAGUUAGUUUAAUCUGACAAUUGGGUGACUAAUAACAUGGCAAGUAGGUGGGAGUAAUCCGACAAGUGCCAACGGAAAAAAAGUUGUCGAAACAUGUUAACAUGGAAUGUACUUUCGAAGAUCUCGUCGCAAAAAAAAACCCAAUGAUGAAGGCAGAUCAUCAACCGAGAUAACAAUUUAGGAGAUAAAACUUCUAUAAAAUACGAAAUCGAAAGUGUCUUUGCUCAUAUCAUGCUUAUGUAUUGUUGUAUGCAUGCAAGAGAGGGGUGAGAGGGGCCAACUAGGAAGGCGAAAAUGCAGGGCGGUUCUUUAACACAACCCAAUUUUCUUUCUUGGAGAUAUAAAUGGAAAAUGAUGCAAUAUUCAUGUAGUUAAGUUGCCUAUUCAGUGGCCGCCUCCCAUACUAUACCUCAUUCAAGAGAGUAGUGUAUUCUCAAUAUUUCAUAAUAUGAAGAAGUGAACGGACGUGUUUGUAAGAAAAACUAGUCCAAAAAUCAACCUCCGGGGAUGUGUUGAUUAAUUAGAAGACAAACAUGUAAAAUCCUAACAGUCGGGAAACUAUUCAGUUAAAAUUUGCCUAAAACAAUCAUGCCAAAACUAUAUGUUGCUCAUCCACUACAAGCACCUCCCCUGUCACCAGGCCGCUAUCUCCAUCCCCAUGUCGACCUCCACCAUCAGGCAUAUCAUCCACCUAGAGUUUUUAGAAAGUGCCUUCGGGAAGAGGAAUAACAGACAUUGCCGUUGUCACACCAACCAUUAUCCAAGCAUGGCUUUCUCCUAGGGCAGUAUAUAUCACCAUCAUACCAAAUGUCAAGGGAAGGGGAUACCGCACUGGCUACUCAAAUGCGACGGCCAUGGUCGAGGGGUUGAAACAAACUCAUUGGCAAUGCCUCUAAUGAGGAGAAAUGCACCCACAACUGAUAACAUUUUCAUCAUCGACUACCACGACUAUGCCACAACAUACAUCCACACCACUUCUUCCCUAGGUCACCACCCAACUGUUCAAGAUGCCUCCGCGCACACACGAACCUCCAAAGGGCAAUCACGCCAAGCAUUCAUAAGUUGGUUGCACCUAGUUGGUAGUACGCACACACAAAUCCGCACCAAGCCACGUAGGGGCCACUAACGCAUGGUCAUCGGAGAGAUAAGACCACAAGUUUCAAUACAAAGAUAACGAGAUACCCAUAUCCCACCCAUGAAUAAUACAUGCAGUAUGUUUAGAAUGUUGUAAUGUAAUUAUUUUUUGCCUCUAUGAAGACAAUAUAAGGUAAACAUUAUCAAAUCAACCUAUCAACCGCUAAAGACUCGCUUGUGUUGUGCACCUCACCCUUUUUAAAUAAGUGCCAAGGUAGCAUAAAACACUUUGUUCUCAUUAUUCAAUCCACUAAAAGGUGGAAAAGAGAAAAAGAAGUGAUAAUGUACUAUAUGUCUAUAAUGAUAGACAACCACUAAUCAAAUGGGGCUUGACAUAUUACAACCAACAAAUACCAACUCUAUUAUUGGACCAUUUUAUGAAACAAGGGCGAGAGUUAAAAAAUACCAUGCAAGUGUAUAGGCUGGGCACCUUUGAAGCAAACCCUAAAGGUUUAAUAAUAUAUCCAUUAUGAGCUAUGCCACCUAAAUUCCUACCACAAUUAGUAGGUGUGAAACUAUUUACCAAACUGCACACUAAGCAGACAACCAAUCAACACUAAUGAUUUUGUAUACAUUUGUUAUUAACACUUUUGCAACGAAGUAGUGUGUAGGAAAUUAAAAAAGUCUAUUUCCUAAACAAAAGUUAAUGUUUUUAUUAGAAAUAAGAUUGUUCCCUGUCAGCAUAUGAUGUACGACAACCAUCCAUUGUCUUUGACCCAUCUUAAUAGUCGCAUGACUGGAUGCAAAAGUAAUAGAGUGUUCACACAGAAAAAUAAUACUCCAUCUAAUGAAAGAAAGUGCCAUGUCGUAAGUUCAAAUUUGAACUAAAGCUGAACGAAACCAGGAUAAUUUUUUUUUGGAUCGGAGGGACUACCACCUCUUUUCAAGAACAAGCAACAACAUUUGCUUGUGACAUAUGUAAUGUACUUAGAGCACCUCCUCCAUUUGACAUAUGUAGUGUACUUCGAAUAUCAUCGCCUCAGUUGACGAUCUCGGUCCAAUUUGUGUCUCGUCUUUUUUUUCGAGAGUACGUCAAUAGCGUACCAUCUUUUUAUAGAAGGGAGCAAAGCAAUUUACAAGAAAAUCAAAGAGGUUGUGAACAGGUUUCGAUCAAACACCAGCACCCACACCUACAAAAACCUAAAGCUACUCUCUCGCUAGACGAUUAAGACCUCCUACUCCAGCGACCCUCCAUUCCUUAGUUUCAUCAUGAUUUGCGCCUUCAAUUGCAGAGGCUGCAGCUGCUAAUUUACCCGAAGGAAAUAUGCCCUAAAGGGAAUAAUAAAGUUGUUAUUUAUAUUUCCUUAUAUCAUGAUAAAUGUUUAUUAUUCAUGCUAGAAUUGUAUUAACCGGAAACUUAAUACAUGUGUGAAUACAUAGACAAACAGAGUGUUACUAGUAUGCCUCUACUAGACUAGCUCGUUAAACAAAGAUGGUUAAGUUUCCUAGCCAUGGACAAGAGUCGUCAUUUGAUGAACGAGAUCACAUCAUUAGAGAAUGAUGUGAUUGACUUGACCCAUCCAUUAGCUUAGCACUAUGAUCGUUUAGUUUAUUGCUAUUGCUUUCUCCAUAAAUUAUACAUGUUCCUAUGACUAUGAGAUUAUGCAACUCCUGAAUACCGAAGGAACACUUAGUGUGCUAUCAAACGUCACAACGUAACUGGGUGACUAUAAAGAUGCUCUACAUGUGUCUCCGAUGGUGUUUGUUGAGUUGGCAUAGAUCAAGAUUAGGAUUUGUCACUCCGUGUAUCGAAGAGGUAUCUCUGGGCCCUCCUCGGUAAUGCACAUCACUAUAAGCCUUGCAAGCAAUGUGACUAAUGAGUUCAUUGCGGGAUGAUGCAUUACGGAACGAGUAAAGAGACUUGCCGGUAACGAGAUUGAACUAGGUAUUGAGAUACCGACGAUCGAAUCUCGGGCAAGUAACAUACCAAUGACAAAGGGAACAACGUAUGUUGUUAUGCAGUUUGACCGAUAAAGAUCUUCGUAGAAUAUGUAGGAACCAAUAUGAGCAUCCAGGUUCCGCUAUUGGUUAUUGACCGGAAGUGAGUCUCGGUCAUGUCUACAUAGUUCUCGAACCCGUAGGGUCCGCACGCUUAACGUUCGACGACGAUCAGUAUUAUGUGUUUUGAUGUACGAAGGUAGUUCGGAGUCCCGGAUGUGAUCACGGACAUGACGAGGAGUCUCGAAAUGGUCGAGACAUAAAGAUCGAUAUAUUGGAAGGCUAUGUUUGGACACUGGAAUGGUUCCGGAUGAGUUCGGGCAUUUUCCGAAGUACCGGGAGGUUACUGGAAACCACCCCUCGGGAGUCAAUGGGCCUUAAUGGGCCCUAGUGGAGAAAGAGGGCAGCACGCAAGUGGUGGGGCGCGCCUCCCUAGGCCCAAACCGAAUUGGUUUAGGGUUUGGGGGGCCGCCCCCCCCUUUCCUUAUCCUCUCCUUCUCCUUCCUCCUUCUCCUAGUAGGAAUAGGAAAGGAGAGGGCGGGGGCAAACCUACUUGUAGUAGGAUUGCCCCGCCGUGGGCGCGCCUCCUCCUAGGCCGGCCCUCUCCUCCCCCUUUAUAUACGGGGGAUGGGGGCACCCCAUAUACACACAAGUUGAUUGUUUAGCCGUGUGCGGUGCCCCCCUCCACAAAAUUUCACCUCAGUCAUAUCGUUGUAGUGCCUAGGCAAAGCCGUGCGUCGGUAACUUCAUCAUCACCAUCAUCACGCCUCGUGCUGAGGAAACUCUCCCUCGGCCUCAACUGGAUCAAGAGUACGAGGGAUGUCACCGAGCUGAACGUGUGCAGAUCGCGGAGGUGCCGUGCGUUUGGUACUUGAUCGAUUGGAUCACGAAGAUGUUCGACUACAUCAACCGCGUUUCAUAACGCUUCCGCUUUCGGUCUAUGAGGGUACGUAGACAUACUCUUCCCCUCUCAUUGCGAUGCAUCACCUAGAUGGAUCUUGCGUGUGCGUAGGAAAUUUUUGAAAUUACUGCGCUGCCCAACAUUACCCUGUCAAAUACCCAAGCAUUCCUCCGCUUCCAAACAGCCUAGGUCGUCAUCAUGAACAAGGAGUCGAAGCCUUUCCUCUCAGCCCUUGGGAGGGCGUUUCUAGCCUCCUUCCACCAUUGUAUUGGGUGGAGAGUACUGACGGGGGAGCGAUGUUCAACCUAAAGUGACCCAAGACCAGAUGCCACACCUCUCUAGCAUACGUGCAUUGUAUUAGGAUGUGGUCCACUUUGUCCUCGUCUUGGAGACAAGUGAAACAGGGAGAAGUCUCGUCUUGCAAUCCAUGCCGUGUCCGGUGGUCCGAGGUCCAUACUCUAUACUAAGAGGCCAACCAGAUGAAGAUCUUGCACUUCAAUGGUGCCCAAGUCUUCCAAAUGAGGGGAGCCGACUGGGAAUAAGUGAGGCCCAAGCACAAACUUUUGUAGGUGGAGUUCGCCGAAUAUGCUCCCGACCUGUCGGACGACCAUGUGAAGAUAUCUGGCCGCCCCUCCUCCCUAUCGACAAGGGAAAUUGCAUGUUGGAGGAGGUACAACUGCAUAUGCACAGUGAAGUUUAGCUCCUCCGGGACAUCCCUCUCCCAUCUUCUGCUCCCCAAGGCCUGAUACACCGUACACAUGUUUUGGGUGCGAGUUGGCACAAUUGCCAGGAUGGAUGGGGCUAUGUCAGCCACCGCACGCCCAUUGAUCCAACGAUCAUGCCAGAAGAGAAUUUUCUUACCAUCGCCGACCGAGAUGGAUACUAGGCUGUCGAACACCUCCCUAGACUCUUUAUCAGGCACGAUCUUCAGACCCUGCCAUGGUCGCUCAUCAUCCGUUCGCCUGAGCCAUUCCCAACGUACCCGAAGGGUGAGCGCUUGCAGCUUGAGAUUCUUGACCUCCAAUCCCCCGUGGCAAUAGGGGCGGCAAAUGGUGUUCCAGGCUACAAGACACUGUCCCCCAUUGAUUUUAUCCUUGCCGGCCCAAAAAAGGAUCAAAGCCAGGAGUUGAUAUCGUCAAACACCCACUGCGGCAAAUGGUGUUCAUGUCUCGUCUUGAUCUUAGCCUCACACGACAACCCGUCGUACCUUAAUUUAUUAGAAAGGAUCUGUCUCAUCCCUGGUUUAAAUGUAUUAUCAAUUGCAUUCCCGAUCGCUAGCGAGUCGACCAUCUCCUCAUUGACAAUCUCUCCAUAUCCGCUCCAUCCACCACCCGUUGCUUUACAUCCCCUUGCACCAUUGCUUGGACUCAAACACGCCUCUUGUCGCCAUAGUUGCUCAAAAAAAACAUUGAAGCCAGUGAUAAAUUGUCUGCAAUCUCUCGUUCAUAGAGAAUUAUUCCUCAGAACAGCCAACCAACACCUUCUAUCUGUUGAAUUUUUGCAUAGACAUUUCACAUAAGGUUGCGAAGAUAAACGAGAGUCGCACUUCAUUCCAUUUCUCUCUCAUACGAAACAAAAAAAACCUAAACAAGAAGCGAGAAAGGACAAAAAAGCACAAAUCAUAUAUCCCUUGUGCUAAUUUCUUUUUUGAUAGAACGAGAGCCUCCUCCUUCUCCUCCUCUUCCUCUUCCCCAUCUCUCUCAUCCUUCUGACCUCCUCCUCCUCUCUCUCUAAAAAAAGCUUCUCGUGCUUAUAAAUACCCUUCCCUCCCUCCCCGUGCGAGUUCCUCCGCCCGAUCCCCUUCCGCCCCCUCCCGACGAUCGCCCCCGCUCGUCCCACCGCGGUGGGCGAUCGCUCCUCUCCUCCGUGCGCGCGAUUCCUGAGGCGAGGCGACCGACACCAGAUUCCGCCGGCCGGCCCACCUCCCCCGCUUCGCCGAUCGGAUCGCGUGCUCCAUGAGGUGACGAUCUGCGAAUUCCCGCAUUACCCGCCGGGUUUUCACCCGAUUAUUCGGGCAGGAUUGCGUUAGGUGGGCGCUAAAGCAUCUGGAUGGCUGCGGUGGCGUGAGUGGGAGCUGGGAGCUGGGAGAAGGAAUUGGAUUCGAGAGCGUGUGCAAUUUGAGUGUUCCGUACGGCACAGCUCGCAAUUUUUGUUAGUAGUAGUAUGGUGAUGGUGCGCCCGUGAGAGUUUAAGAGUGCAUAGUUAUUCGGUCAAUUUUUGCUCGCUAUUGUGGAUGAUUUUCUCGUCUAUGGUUAGUGGCUACACUUUAGAAUUUUUUUGAUUUGCCUAAUAUUUCUGCUUUAUCUGCUCGUGUUUGGUUUGGGGGAAGGGGGUGGUUGGUGGGCGUCGGGAUGCUAAAGGGUGCAUCUGUUAUUUUUAGGUGAAACUAUAUGAUGCACUUCUUAGUGUGCAAUUUCUUGAUAUUUUUUAUUGGAGCUGCAUGUGCAUGUGGUGAAUGCAGAGAAUUUUGCUGAGAAAUGAUGGAGUCAUGAUUAUGUUGAUAAACAGGAAUAUUUACCAGUGUUCUUUUGUGUGGUUGAGUCAUUAAUGGAGUUUGGGAUGUUGCACCUGCAAACUUUUUGCGAGGUUGGUAGUUGUUUGGUUGGGUGUUUGGAUUUCUGAUUACUUUUGGUCAGUGUGGAAGUAGAUUGGGGGAUUGAUUUUGUAUACGCAUGGUAUAGUAGGAUUAUAUUGUUGCCUUUUUUUGGAUUUGUGGUCUGCUCUGGUAGUGCUGAUGAUAUAGCCUUAGGUAUAUGGCAACAGGUUUUCGACAGUUGGAGAAUAUUUGUUGAAAAUGAAUUUUCUUGUUAAUUGGUGGUAAUUAUGAUUCUGGUGGUUGUUAUAUGGAUUAUGGAUACGGUGUUAGUUGCUCGUAGAUGUUUUCUUAAUGCAGAUUACAUUAUUUACCAUUGUCAUGAAACAUUCAGUUUUUGCCUUUUUUUGGUUGUCCAAGCCAAGCCGUUGGUUAGUCUUAACUCGGUUUUAUUUCUGUCAUAUUUCUCCCACUUCUAUUCUCCGAUUCUUUUUUUUAAAUGCAAUGUUUUUUAUUUGAAAAAAGGAGUUUGAGAUAGAAUUCAGAAACAUUUUGAUCUGGUGAUUAUCCCUCAAGAACUACAAUAGCAAUUCCCGUUCCACCCAGAACUUUAGGAAUUCCUUGACUGAGAUGUGAAAGCUUAUGCCUCUAUUAUCAUUGGAUGUAAGAGACACGUGCACACUUUUCACUUUCUUUUUUACGAAUGUUCAAACUUCAUCUUCCCUUUUUGUGUAUUAGAAGUAUCAUUGCCCUUAUGCUGAGAUGGGAGAACUUAUGUUGUAUGGUCAUUGAAUGUAAGAUUACACACCUCCCUUCAUCAUAAUUUUCCAUUUUGUUAAAAGUCUCCGUACUACAUACUACGUUCUGUGUAUUUUUCAUUAGUGAAAAACUUACAAUUGAAGGAAGUGUAAAAUCAAAGAAGUCUUCAGUUUGAUUAUUUGUAUUUAGUAACUACAUGAUUGAAACAAGUUCUGCCCUUGUUUAAAGUGAUGACCAUCUUCUGAUUGUAUGUCCUGCCUUGUUUCACCUUAUACGCUAUUCAUCAACCUUUCUUUCAAAGUAAACCAUUAACUGACACAAAUUAUCUUCUUUAAAAAAAAUUAUGAACAUAAGUUUUUUUUUUUGAGGAUUUUGUUUUGGUAAAUCUCUUCGGCAAUGACAAACUGCUUCAACCAGCAGGAGAAUGAGUGAACAUGUCAAAUGGGACUCCUAAUUGCAAAAGAAACUAUCCUUUCUAGACCUGUAACCAGGGGCAGUGUCUAGUGAGGGCAAACAUGGAUCAUGUACGACCUUGAAUUUUAUAAGCCUCUGCAUUGAGUUUUGGCCUUGCAAUUGCUCGAAGUGGGAAAUAGACACUUAUGCAAUUCAAUUUCAUUAGUGCCCAAGCUCCGCCACUGGCCUUGCAAUUGCUCGAAGUUGGAAAUAGAUGAAAUUCAAUUUCCUUAGUACUAAGGCCUUUAUUUUUGCCGAGCUCCACCACUGCCUGUAGGCACAAGAUUAAGCAUACGAUUUGCAUAUUGUCAUGAAAAUAGAAGUUCUGAAGUAUAAAAUUGAUGCCUGUCCCUACUAAUCAUAUUUUGUUGACAACCUGCUGACAGUGUUAUACGCAUAUACUGACUAAUGUAGAGAACCACAAGCAGAACUGGUAGAUAUUAGAAGGUUAUUAGUUAUUACCCCCACCAAUGUAUUUCCUUAUGUUCUUUGUUACUACAGAUCCUCCCUAUCAUUUUAAAAUCAUUACUUUGUUUUCAUUGUAACUUUGAAGGAGCAAAGGCAGUGACUUUGAUCGGUUUAUUUGCAUUUAAUAUUGCUCUUCAGUUGAAAAUGAUUUUGUUAAGCUUCAUGCACUAGCCAACGCAACCAAAAAGUCCGAACUUAUGGAAAGGGCUAGGCAACCCGCAUAUACAUUUAAACAGAUUUUACCACUCUAAUGAUGUAUUGUUUUCAGCCAGAAUUAGGAAAAAAUACUUUAUGAAAGGGCAGAUUGAAAAAUCAGCUGACAAAUUAAACAACUGUGAAUAAUUGCGAUAUGUAUUCAUAUGCAUUAUGCCACGCUUGGUUACUUCAGUAGGAUAUAAUCUAUACAGCUCAUUGGAAUGGGUUGCUGCAAGCAAUAACUAAUGAUUUGACUUCGAAGUUUGUAUGUCUUCACAUUCAAAUCCCACUUAAAACACAUAUUUCUUACACCAGAGAAGUUGGAUAACUUAAUAUGCGAACUCUGGUGAAUCACACCAUGUGUUGACUAUCACCAAAGAUUUAGCCAUGGACAGGGAUGCGUGGAAGUUAGCUAUCCACGUGCCAUAACCAUGACUUGGUUUUGAUAUCUUAUGGGUUUCAACUCUAGCCUACCCCAACUGGUUUGGGACUGAAAGGCUUUGUUGUUAUUGUUGUUGUGGUGGUGGUGAAUCACACCAUGCGUUGACUUAAUCUUGUGCUGUUGACAUAUAAGCCUACUCCAGGGAUGCAAUGUCCGGAUCUAUUACCUUAGCUAGUUUAUCUUCAAGUUUUUUGCAACAUUACUAAUCGUUCGCACCAAUCCUCUUGGUUUCUCUGUAACAUUGCCUUUAUGUUACCACACAAGCAUACAAAUAUGGAUGUCUUACUAUGUAAACUGCCAAGCUUCGCAUAUUUGAUAUAUGUCGAAUUUUAAGUGUGCACUGUAGAUCUAUUCACUUCAUUCUAACAGUUGGUUUCUAAUUUGAUUUCAGGUAGAGGUGACGAUAAAGCAUAGUUGUUGACUUAGCUUGCAGUGGUUCUUUAUCGAAGCUAAGGCAGAUAAUAAUUGGCGUUAUGGCAUAUCGAAUGGUAUGCGCUCCCCAAGUCAUUGAUCUCGAGUCUGAGCGAGGGCAUCCUCAUGUUCAUUCUGAAAGUUUAAUUCACAAUGGGAAUGAUUUGUCCGACCAAGGCAGUCAAUAUACUGUCAGAGUUGUAGGCAAUGCUAUGAAUGCUGGUCUUUCUGAUACACAGGGUUACUACAAUAUGAGCAUGAAUCAUCCACAUCAGCCUGUUCAUAGUUCUCCGCCAAAUUUAGGCGUUGAUUCAGGUUUUGUCUUCCCAUCAAAUAUGUACAACCCUUGCAUGUCAACAUCUAUGAACAGAUAUGUCUCUCAUGCUCAGAGCUUUGGAUUGCCUUUAAACCAAGUUGUCUCAGGAAGUAUGGAUGGAAGUACUAGAAAUGAAAAUGUCAGCGAAACUGCUAGAGGAUUCAUUAAAAGGAAAAAUGCCGCAGUGGCAGGAACUUGUCAUUUUGUUAAUGGAUCUGCAAGCUCAAGCUCAUCCUCUCAUACAUCUCAAAAUCCUACACAUAGGCCAUGGGAUCCUUCUUUUGAGUCAAAUGUUUUUCCUAAUGUCACACCAUUCAACCCAUCAGAAUAUCAUAGCCACAGCACUUGGCCAUCUGUGGAAGGAUCUUCCAUUACUGGAUCAAAUGGGUUUAAUUUGAUGGCUGCUCACCCAGAAUCAGCACAGCAUGGUAACUAUACAUUUCAAUCAAGUCAUGCUAGUCAGUGCUUUCAACCUGCCAGCACUACUUGGGUUUCCCAGGCUGCAACUGGAAUUGUGGAAGGAGUACCACAGUGGUCAUACAUCAAUGCAAUGUCUAGUGUUCCAGGUACGUAAGCAACUAAUAGAACAGAUCUGAGUUUCCUACUGAUAAUGAAAACAGAUUUGGAAAGAGUUGUACUUUCUAAGGAUAAGAAUCAUUGUUCAAUGCUUCUUUUAGUUGUUGGCAAUGUGCAUUGAUGGCUAAACUAAUAGUUUAGCUUUACAUGUUAAGUGUCAGAAGCUUAGUAGAAAAAUGGCCCCACCUACAAAAUGAAAUUGUGACAGAAGUGAAGUACAAUUGAUAGCAUUUAUCUUUCAGCUGUCAGAUUUGCUUGUUCAGGGGAAAUAAUUGGUACCUCUUGCUUCCAGCAGGCAGAUUUGCACAUUCAGGGGCCACAGAAAUAGUGAAUGGAGGCUUUCAUGAAUAUCAGAAUGGCCCUUCAACCAUUUCUCAAGGGCAUUUACCUUAUUUUCAUCAACAUGCUGUGCAUAGCAUGCAACCUCAUAAUCCACUGGAUCAUACACGAGUGCAAGUCCCUUACCAACAAGGCCACAAUAAUGGCAUCUUGCAUAGUGGGGUAAAUCAUUCUGGUAACCGGUUCCACUUGAGUCCAAGAACUCCAGGUCUCUUCUCUAAUUCUGAGCGGUCUUUUGGGCCUCCACAGCAUCCGUUCCUGGUGAACCCAGUUAAUCAUAGGAACUUAAGAAUUUUGCCACCUCUGGUUAGUCUGCACCUCACUUCAUUUAUUUAUUUUACAAUUUCUGGUAUUCAAAUACCAAAUAACUCAAUAACUAUUAGGAUCACCAUUUGCCUAAUAUGAUACAUCUGGUGUGUUCUUUUCCUUUUUGUGGAAUGUUGGGAACUUUAUAGGAGUCUUGCAUGUCUUGGACUUGUGCUUUAGUGCAUUCAUACCUUAAUGUGUUUUAUGUGCUAAGUUAUGGAAUUUUGAAUCUUACAAACUGGAAUUCUUUUUACCGAUUUCUAAAUGGCCGAUGUCCUUCAAUGUAGAACUGGAAGUGACCAGCCUUGCAAUUAUCUUGUUCUGGAAAUGUUAUCCAUUGCAUUGUUGUUAAGUCUCUUAAUAUUCUUGGGGAGUUCUUAUUGAAAUGUGUUAAGCUAUGUGUUGGUUAUUAGAUUCAAGAAAUUGUAUUAGUUGAUUCUUGUUGUGUUGUAUGAAUGCCUCGGGCCUACUGAAGCUUUUGCUUGGAUACAAUGUUUCUCACAUUUGAAAUUGCCUCUUGUUAUUUUUAUUUCUGGUCAACAGGAAGACGACUAUUAUACUCAUGCAUUUGACCUCAUGUCCUUCCUGCCGCUAUUUAUUUGUUUUAUGUUACCAUGUUUUCCUUGGUGAUGUGCGUGAUACACACCUUGCAAAGUUACAUGUACCUUCUUAUGUAAGCAAUCUCUUUCAUGGACCCUGUGUACCAGAAGCUGAACCCAUGUCUUGAGUACUACUUGCAUGAUCAGAGAUAACCUUAAUUGAUGCGAUUGAUUAGGUUCUUGGCUGAUUUUUUAAGCAGAAGUGGUCUUAAUUUCAAAUCCAUCCGUGCAGACAGACUCGUUUCACUUGUGACAAACUUACAAUUGUCACAGAUAGUAUUAACUUCUAAGUCCAGGCGUGCAAACUGGUUAUAGUGUAGACCUCUUGAGGUCCCUGUUUUUUUGUUUCCGUUGAGGAUGUCAAUGGUAUACAUGUAGUUAUAUAACUAUUUGUUGGCCCUGCAGCAGCAUGGUGCAAUCAUGGAUUUUUCGAGGUUGUAUGAGGGGUCAAAUGUAGUAGAUGAGCAUAGAGAUAUGCGUCUAGAUAUAGACAGCAUGACCUAUGAGGUACGUAAAGCUCAUUCAGCCUUUGUGACUUCACCUCACACGGUAUAUCUUUUCUGAUCUAUUCUUUUAUUUCUAUCACAGGAGCUUUUAGCAUUAGAAGAGCACAUUGGAGACGUCAAUACAGGUCUGGCAAAAAGCCACAUUGUAGAUAAAUUGAAGACUAGCUUAUAUGUGCCAGGAGCAACCUGCGUGUCUAAUCAGUCAUCUGAACCUUCCACAGAGAAUGAGGCUUGCAUAAUAUGCCAGGUGCUUCCCUUUCACUAUAUUGUUUGUUACCUUGCCUUAGCCAUGUAAAAUUUCAGCUGUUCCAAACUAAUGAAUUGUCAACCAGCCAUCGAAUUCGUGUUGAACCACCAUCACAUCUAUUGAAUGUUUAAUGAACUUGAUCGCUUGAACUUAGCGUUCUGCACGGUCUAAACUUAAUACUUAUGGAUCUAAAGUAAUGACUAUAGCUUAUGCGAUGACUGAUAAUGCAUCUACUUAUACUACAGCGAGCAAUGGCUAGUGCAGUAUUGUAGGACCACCUCGUCUACAGCAUAUUACCCACCUCUGCGCAGUAGUGUCGUGUUGAUGUUGAGAAAUGUUUGUUGCUUAUUUUGACAGUACAGUGUACCCACAUCCCUUCAGCUUUCUGUCCAUAAGAGAACCUAUUUUCUCUAGGAUUACUACUUAGUAAAUUUAGUUGGAAAUUAGCAUUAGCAAAUGCGCCGAUGCAUGGUGAUGAUCAUCUAGAACAAAGUUACUCUGUUUCUUAUUAGACAGUAUAGUGUUCCCACUUCCUUUGGCUUAUGUACAUAAAAUAACUUAUUUCUCUAGGAUUACUCCUUGGUAAAUUGAGCUGGAAACUACUAUUAGCAGAUGGACCGAUGUAUGGUGAUAAUCAUGUAGAACAAAGUUACUAAGGAGUGGUAGUUGGUAAAUGGCCACCCAUGCUUUUCUUCGCCAUAAAUAUUGAUUGGAUUUGGAAAGGCGAUGUCAUGAGGAUCGGUCACCCAUGUGCUAGGCCCAUGGUUCCAAUCAAGUGAUAUGAACUCUUUAGUAUCUCUUUAAGUAGAAUUGUAUCAUUAAAAAUUUUAAAUUUAAAUUAGUAAUUAAGCAACUAGAGGUAAGAUAGGAGAGGCUUCUUUUAGUGCUCCACCUAUGUGUGAACAUUUAUACUUUGCAGGGUGGUGACAUGGCAGCAUGCAUGCCCCCCCUGUGAUGUGCUAGUUCACUACCACCUCCAUUCUAAAUAAGGUGGGCAUGCAUUCCAAAAUCCAACUUUGACCAUAAAUUAUACCAAUAUACACUAUAUUUUUAUGACUUCAAAAUUAUAUCAUUGAAAACUUAUUUUGAAUACAAAUCCAACUGUUUAAUUUUUGUGACGUAUAACCCAUAUUUGGUUGGUCUAAUUUAUGGUCAAAGUUCAAUUUUAAUGGUCAAAGUUCAAUUUUAAAAUGUGUGUGCACCUUAUUUAUUGGAAUGGAGGGAGUACAUACUUAUCAAGUUUUUUACAGUGAUUUAUUUAUUUAGUUUUGUGAUCAGUGAGUGAUUAUAACUGGUCAUUUAAAUAGUCAUGCAUGCACACGAAUCGCUAUGAUAGAUCUGAUGGCAUUCAAAGGUGGAGCCGCUGCUCCAUGGUUUACCUGAACAUUAGUGAUAAGAUAUCCCUUAGCUUUGGGCUUGCAGCCAAUAGUUUAGAUUAUUAGCCCUCAAUAUAAAGAGGACACAUUGAGAUGAAUUGAUCAACCUGGAAGUACUAAACUCUGUCGUCCAUCUAGUUUGUCCUCCCAAUCCAAAAGGCUUGCCUGUUCUUAGUGCAUAAACCCUUGUGAUCAUUUCGCGAACUUUGUGUAACUCUUCUACUUCUAGUAAAAAUUCUGGUGUCCUUGCCCGAUAAUAAGCACUAGCUGGUUGGUGAAGCAUAAUCCUCGCGUGAGGGAAUGCUAUACGCUUGGUGGUUCUCCUCCAAGCAGAAUGAAGGACGCCAUGGAGGUGGCUAUUCUGAGGCAUAUUGUAUAUAUAUCUGGUGUCACCGUUUGCAUCGUAUCAAAAAUAACCAUUCCUGAGAUUAGCCAUCCGCCUGGGGAGUUCAUAAACAAAAAAAAUACCUUUCCUAGAUGAGCAUUGCCAACUGGCGAUAUUUAUCCUCGUGGGCCCUGGUUCAUGACAGGAGGAGGAGAAUCUAGUUUCACGCUGGCGUCCAAUCUAUUCCCAGUUCCUAGUUCUAAAGAACUGUCACUUGAUGUAUCUUGCAGGAGGAGUACGAGGCUGAGGACUGCGUUGGAAUCCUGGAUUGUGGCCACAGAUACCAUGCGGUGUGCUUAAAACAGUGGCUGACGGUAAAGAACCUAUGCCCCAUCUGCAAGACAACAGCUUUGUCUGCGGGUAGAAGAAGUUGAUAACAAACAGGAUUAAUCUUUAUCAGUUAUUUGCUUGACAAACAUUCAGAUCAAUUUUGUACAUAAGAAGCGGUAGACUAUUCUGCUACCUGUAUUUGUUGUUCACCUUGUGAUUGGGAGUAACUCGGCUUCCAAAAACUGUACAGACAUAACAUUGAUCGUUCUAUUCAAAUGUAGAAUGUUUAUAAAUUACUCAGUUGGACAUACAGUGUAUCAUAUGGUGGAUCCGAAGGUAACUCUUAGAGUGGCAUCUCUAGAAACUACCCUGUAUAUAUGUUGGUUACCCUAAAACAAACAGAAACAUGUGUUUUUUACAUUAUUUAUUAAUCUUAAGAGAACUGAUAAUUGUUUCUGUUAUUGGAGAGAUUGAUCUGAGAGUGCCCAGCCGAGCACGAGUUUUUCAGCAUAUGGCUUUGGACGACAAUGUUCUGUAUUGUAUAAUGGAUUAUUCAACUCCGUCGUGCAGUUUGGUUGAAACAUGAGAAACAAAACCUCGAAUCUGAACUCGCUCGUGUUUAUGAUGGGCUUUGCCUUAAUUUUAUUGCAUUAUAUUUGUAUUUUCUGCCAUUGUUUUCAUAUCUUUUAAUAAGGGGACAUAUGGUGUUUUUGUUUUCUUAGUGGCUGUACCGUACAAGUAAAAGAUAGUUUUGCCCUAGAACUCUUCCCCUAAUAUUAUAGCUUGUGCGCCGUACUUGCCUUGAGAGAAUCUUCCCUGAAGGAUCUCUGCACCCAUCCCCAGGUAACAAAACGUGAUGAAGGAAGGCCAGUCGCGCCAACUGCCAAAUGAGCACACGAAAAUGAAAGGAGAAGCAAAGAGAAUGCUACUACUACUACAUGAAGCCAAGUCAAGCCUGGCACAUGCUUAUAUUCGCAAAUUCAAUUUUGUACAUAUCGUUUUGCGAGAUGAGAGUCGUUGACACAUGUAUGUACAGAGAUGCAUGCCCGGUCGGUCACGGAGACGAAGCCAGGACCGGGACAACGAGCGGCUCGAUGGUCGUCAUCAUCUCUCGCUUGGCUUUCUCUACCUCCCCACCACCCCCCACGAAACCAACGCCAUCCGCGGCGACCCCUUCUUCCCUUACCUGAGACACUUCUCCCCAAAGCGAACCAACCCAGCUGAAAAGAAGCGAGACGCGCCGCACCGCGUUGCCUUUGUAUCGUGCCUCUAUUUAGCUCAAGAGGAGAGGAUAGGAGAGGAGAGGAGAGGCGCGCGGGAAGGGGAAGGAGAUCAAAUCUUAGGAAACCAUCGGUUGAUCGAGCAGCGGCGGCGACGCAGAAGCAGCAGGAAGCAGGAGGGGAGGGGGAUGGCGGUGGCGUAUCGCGCGGAGGAGGAGUACGACUACCUGUUCAAGGUGGUGCUGAUCGGGGACAGCGGCGUGGGCAAGUCCAACCUGCUGUCGCGCUUCGCCAGGGACGAGUUCAGCCUCGACACCAGGUCCACCAUCGGCGUCGAGUUCGCCACCAAGACCGUCCGCGUCGACGGCAAGCUCGUCAAGGCGCAGAUCUGGGACACCGCCGGCCAAGAAAGGUACCAAUACUCUCCACCUCCUGCUCCUUCUCUUUUGCCCGCCACCUGUAUGAGAUAUUGCUGCUUUGCCUGUCCACCUCUUUCUUUCUCCCACCGCUUGCCGUCGAUUCAGUUUAGUUCAGCUUGAUCGAUCGAUCGAUCGAUCGUAGUAAUUGAUGACUAACCCAAGGACUUGCGAUGACUCCUUUCCCGUUGCCAUGCUUGUGAUUUCAAUAGCAAUCUGUAAACAACUCACUCUGAACUGCAGAUGUCCUUCGAAAUAGGAGUAUCUUUAUUAGCAAUACAAUGUGCAUCUUUCUGGUUGCGUGUAACCGCAUUUCCACAUUGACACCAGUACCAAGUUGGCUAAUCACUUUACGUACGUGCGUGCGUUGCACUCGCACCCGCGGCUCUCUCUAUGUGUGUAGGUACCGGGCCAUCACCAGCGCCUACUACCGGGGCGCCGUGGGCGCGCUCGUGGUGUACGAUGUGACGCGCCACAUCACGUUCGAGAACGCGGAGCGGUGGCUGACGGAGCUCCGCGACCACACGGACGCCAACAUCGUGGUGAUGCUGGUCGGGAACAAGGCGGACCUGCGCCACCUCAGGGCCGUCUCGCCCGAGGAGGCCAGGGCCUUCGCGGAGCGCCACCGCACCUUCUCCAUGGAGACGUCCGCGCUGGAGGCCACCAACGUGGAGGACGCCUUCACGGAGGUGCUCGGCGAGAUCUACCGCGUCGUCAGCAAGAAGGCCCUCGACAUCGGCGACGACCCCGCCGCGCCGCCCAGGGGCAAGACCAUCGACGUCGGCGGCAAGGACGACGUCACCCCGGUGAACACGGGCGGCUGCUGCUCGGCCUAGUCAAACUCUCUCCCUCUUUCUCUCUGCCGGAGACGGUGGUAGGUGAUGCCGUGUGUGUGCGUGCUAGGGUGUAACAGGCAUGUCGCGACCGUGAUGAUUAUUGAUUAUUGGUCAAAACGCUCUGGGGGUGGUUGAUACCUUGAUAUCAUAUGCUUGAUUGAUACGUACUAUACAUACAGCGUGUAGUACUACCGGGAGAAGACGUCGUGCGUGUGUUGUUGCAAGUUGCAAGCACGGUCCGCGUCCGUGUUCACUCCAUUUCAUUGGUCUGUUUGGUGCAGUUCAGGUCCAAAAAAACGCGUUAGGGUGUGACAAUUUUCGGUCAAGGCGCUUCAUCAUCAGGUAAAAAAUAGAAGCGACUCCGAUGAAGACGAAACGGCCGUCGUGCAGAAAGUGCAUAUGCCGGCGAUGUCCGCGUCGGAACACGGCCGCGGAAGGAUAUGCAUAAUUUAAGAACACUAUUAUGCGUUGACGCAAGCCCUACCAGCUCAGGACGGCGGGUGGGAUCGGAGAAGGAUAUUGCAAAAUGCCUAGCAUCUUUUUUUAGCUUCUUUAAGGGAUAUAAAAGCCAAGUUUAUUUAUCAAAGUCUACAUGGUGUGGGAUACAACUCCGAUCAUGUGAAACUGGGCUUUAAGGUUAACAGAAGAGGUCAUAUUUGAUGAGUGGGAAAUGGACAAAAAAUUAACAUUUGAGAAGAUGCAUGUAUCUCAAAUUGUGUCACUAGAAAAAUUAUAACGCCUAAGGGGGGCAUCUGUUAACUGAGGAGAUGAUCUCACUGAUCCUGCCUCCAACAAUUGGGAUGAACACCUAAUCAGAUAAACUAUGUGGCCCAUUGAUGCACAACGGAUUCUUUCAGUUUCACUCUCGCAACAUGAUAUGCCAGAUUUCAUUGUUUGGAGUUAUACGAAAAAUGGUAUAUUCUCGGUUCGACCAGCUUAUUCCGUGGAGUGGGACCAUCAGUAUGGCAGCAAAUUAAAAUACUCUAAUGGGAUGGGACGAACCACAGUUAACCCUAUUUGAAACAAGAUAUGGAAGUUAUCUUGUCCGACAAAAGUUAUUUUUUUUAUAUGGCGUACACUAUAUGGAACACUCCCCCACCGGGUUACGCUCGCUAAUAGACAUAUGAAGGUCUCGCCCAUUUGUCCCACUUGCUUUGAGGGCUUAGAAGAUACGAAGCAUAUGCUUUUCCGUUGUAGUAAAGAAAAUGGGGUUUGGGAAAGGCUGGGGAUGGAUGAUAUUAUUGAUAAAGCUUGCGAGAUUGACCAUUCUGGAGAGGCAGUGUUAAAGUACUUACUACUUCUUCCGGGCCAAGGUUUGAGGAUAAUGGAUUACCACAAUGUGCGUGAGAUGAUUGCUGUCUCAGCAUGGUAUUUAUGGUGGGAAAGACGAAAGUUGAUGCACAAGGAGAAAACUCAAAAUGCACUUCAGAUUUCAAUGGGGGUUCUAGCCCUUACCACAAACUUCAUAAAUGCAUUGUCCCCCAAGGCUUCUACGAAGGAGGAUGGUCUUGUCCCCCCAGAGCUUUUGUGAAACUUAACACUGAUGCUUCUUUUGACCAUGACCUGCUUAGGGGAACAAUGGGGGGCAGAUUUAUUGCUAGAGGGAUUGGAAAGAUUGACUAUUGCGUGGAUGUGUUGAUGGCGGAAGCUUUAGCCCUCAAGUUUGGUCUAACACUAGCGCAAAGGGCGGGAUGUAAUCGUCUUAUUAUUAACUCAGACAACAUGAAGGUGAUUGAUACUAUGCAGGAUGGAGGACAGUCAGCAAGCACGACAACAACAAUCUUCGACGAUUGUUUUCAUUAUGCAUGUGAUUUCAUUACUACUAGAUUUGAACAUUGUAAUAGAGAAGCAAAUAAAGUAGCUCAUGAGCUCGCUAGAUUAGCUAGAUUUUCUUUGACUUCUGUUUGGUUUGAGGAACCAUUAAAUGAAAUUGUAAUGCUCCUCGCAAACGAUGUACUAUUUAUCUCUAAUGAAUAAGACUUCGGUGUUUUUUUAAAGAGUUGUGAUCAGUUUUUUAUUUUUUGAGGGGAGAUCAGAUGGGCUUUAAGGUUAACCAAGUAGUUGCGAUCAAAUGGGCUUUAAGGUUAACCAAGCAAUCGCGAUCAGAUGGGGGCAGUGGACCAAUGUAACCAGACGGGUGAUCCACUUUACCAGACGCACACUCUCAUUUGAGACCUUGCCUAUGGGUAGAACCUCGAGGCGUUCCCCUAGGGGUUCUCUUCCUCCGGGCGACUGCAUUGGAGUACCCAAAUUCCUNNNNNNNNNNNNNNNNNNNNNNNNNNNNNNNNNNNNNNNNNNNNNNNNNNNNNNNNNNNNNNNNNNNNNNNNNNNNNNNNNNNNNNNNNNNNNNNNNNNNNNNNNNNNNNNNNNNNNNNNNNNNNNNNNNNNNNNNNNNNNNNNNNNNNNNNNNNNNNNNNNNNNNNNNNNNNNNNNNNNNNNNNNNNNNNNNNNNNNNNNNNNNNNNNNNNNNNNNNNNNNNNNNNNNNNNNNNNNNNNNNNNNNNNNNNNNNNNNNNNNNNNNNNNNNNNNNNNNNNNNNNNNNNNNNNNNNNNNNNNNNNNNNNNNNNNNNNNNNNNNNNNNNNNNNNNNNNNNNNNNNNNNNNNNNGGAGAGGUCGACUGAACAUAUUGGGGAGGAUGGAGGAAGUGGUUGUUGGGAAAUGUAGUAAUUCAAAAAUUUUCCUACGAUCACGCAAUAUCUAACUAGGAGAUGCAUAGCAAGGAGAGGGGAGAGUGUGUCCACGUACCCUCGUAGACUGAAAGAGGAAGCGUUUAGUAACGCGGUUGAUGUAGUCGAACGUCUUCGCGAUCCAACCGAUCCUAGCACCGAACGUACGGCAAAGAGAAGACUUGGUGUGUAUUUGGGGUGCCCCUUGCCCACGUAUAUAAAGGAGGGAGGGAGAGAGGCCGACCCUCCUAGGGGUGCGCCAAGUGUAGGGAGUCCUACCAGGACUCUCAAGUUCUAGUAGGAUUCCCUUUCCUUUUUCGGAGUAGGAAAGAAGGAAAGGAGGGAGAGGGAGAAGGAAAGGGGGGGGGGACGCCCCCACCCCUUGUCCAAUUCGGUUUGGGUAGGGGGAAGGCGUGCACCACCUCGUGGCCCUUCUUCCCUCUCUCCACUAAAGCCCAAUAAGGCCCAUUAACUUCCCCCGGCAAAUUCUCGUAACUCUCCGGUACUCUGAAAAAUACCCGAAUCACUCGGAACCAUUCCGAUGUCCGAAUAUAGCCUUCUAGUAUAUCGAUCUUUAGCUCUCAACCAUUUCAAGACUCCUCGUCAUGUCCAUGAUCUCAUCCUGGACUCCGAACAAACUUCGGUCAUCAAAUCACAUAACUCAUAAUAUAAAUCGUCAUCGAACGUUAAGCGUGCGGACCCUACGGGUUCGAGAACUAUGUAGACAUGACCGAGGCACAUCUCCGGUCAAUAACCAAUAGCGGAACCUAUAUGCUCAUAUUGGCUCCUACAUGUUCUACGAAGAUCUUUAUCGGUCAAACCGCAUAACAACAUACGUUAUUCCCUUUGUCAUCGGUAUGUUGCUUGCCCGAGAUUCGGUCAUCGGUAUCAUCAUACCUAGUUCAAUCUCGUUACCGGCAAGUCUGUUUACUCGUUUUAUAAUGCAUCAUCCCGCAACUAACUCAUUAGUCACAUUGCUUGCAAGGCUUAUGGUGAUGUGCAUUACCCAGAGGGCCCAGAGACACCUCUCUGAUAUUCGGAGUGAUAAAUCCUAAUCUCGAUCUACGCCAACUCAACAAACACCAUCGGAGACACCUGUAGAGCAUCUUUAUAAUCACCCAAUUACGUUGUGACGUUUGAUAGCACACAAAGUGUUCCUCCGGUAUUCGGGAGUUGCAUAAUCUCAUAGUCAGAGGAAUAUGUAUAAGUCAUGAAGAAAGCAAUAUCAAUAAAACUAAACGAUCAUUUAUGCUAGGCUAACGGAUGGGUCUUGUCCAUCACAUCAUUCUCCUGAUGAUGUGAUCCCGUUCAUCAAAUGACAACACAUGUCUAUAUUCAGGAAACUUAACCAUCUUUGAUUCAACAAGCUAGUCAAGUAGAGGCAUACUAGGGACACUUUGUUUUGUCUAUGUAUUCACACACGUACUAAGUUUCCGGUUAAUACAAUUCUAGCAUGAAUAAUAAACAUUUAUCAUGAUAUAAGGAAAUAUAAAUAACAACUUUAUUAUUGCCUCUAGGGCAUAUUUCCUUCAGUCUCCCACUUGCACUAGAGUCAAUAAUCUAGUUCACAUCGUCAUGUGAUUUAACACUAAUAGUUCAUAUCUUUAUUAGUUCACAUCUCCAUGUGACUAACACCCAAAGGGUUUACUAGAGUCAAUAAUCUAGUUCACAUCGCUAUGUGAUUAACACCCAAAGAGUACUAAGGUGUGAUCAUGUUUUGCUUGUGAGAGAAGUUUAGUCAACGGGUCUGCCACAUUCAGAGCCGUAUGUAUUUUGCAAAUUUUCUAUGUCUACAAUGCUCUGCACGGAGCUACUCUAGCUCCCACUUUCAAUAUGUAUCUAGAUUGAGACUUAGAGUCAUCCGGAUUAGUGUCAAAGCUUGCAUCGACGUAACCCUUUACGACGAACUUUUUGUCACCUCCAUAAUCGAGAAAUAUGUCCUUAUUCCACAAAGGAUAAUUUUGACCGCUGUCCAGUGAUCCACUCCUGGAUCACUAUUGUACCCUCUUGCCAAACUCAUGGUGAGAUACACAAUAGGUCUGGCACACAGCAUAGCAUACUUUAUAGAACCUAUGACCGAGGCAUAGGGAACGACUUUUCAUUCUCUUCUAUUUUCUGCCGUGGUUGGGUAUUGAGUCUUUACUCAACUUCACACCUUGUAACACAGGCAAGAACUCCUUCUUUGAUUGUUCCAUUUUGAACUACUUCAAAAAAUUGUCAAGGUAUGUACUCAUUGAAAAAACUUAUCAAGCGUCUUGAUCUAUAUCUAUAGAUCUUUAUGCUCAAUAUGUAAGCGGCUUCACCGAGGUAUUUCUUUGAAAAACUCCUUUCAAACACUCCAUUAUGCUUUCCAGAAAAUUUUACGUCAUUCUGAUCAACAAUAUAUCAUUCACAUAUACUUAUCAGAAAGGCUGUAGUGCUCCCACUCACUUUCUUGUAAAUACAGGAUUCAACGCAAGUCUGUAUAAAACUAUAUACUUUGAUCAACUCAUCAAAGCGUAUAUUGCAACUCCGAGAGGCUUGCACCAGUCCAUUAAUGGAUUGCUGGAGCUUGCAUACUUUGUUAGCAUCUUUAGGAUUGACAAAACCUUCUUGUUGCAUCAUAUACAACUCUUCUUUAAGAAAUCCAUUAAGGAAUGUAGUUUUGACAUCCAUUUGCCAGAUUUCAUAAAAUGUGGCAAUUUCUAACAUGAUUCGGACAGACUUCAACAUCGCUAUGAGUGAGAAAAUCUUAUCGUAGUCAACACCUUGAACUUGUCAAAAACUUUUUGCGACAAUUCGAGCUUUGUAGAUAGUAACACUACUAUCAACGUCUGUCUUCCUCUUGAAGAUCCAUUUAUUCUCAAUGGCUCGCCGAUCAUCGGGCAAGUCAAUCAAAGUCCAUACUUUGUUCUCAUACAUGGAUCCCAUCUCAGAUUUCAUGGCUUCAAGCCAUUUCGCGGAAUCUGGGCUCAUCAUCGCUUCCUCAUAGUUCGUAGGUUCGUCAUGGUCUAGUAACAUGACUUACAGAAUAGGAUUACCGUACCACUCUGGUGCGGAACGUACUCUGGUUGACCUACGAGGUUCGGUAGUAACUUGAUCUGAAGUGUCAUGAUCAACAUCAUUAAAUUCCUCACUAGUUAGUGUAGGCACCACUGGAACUGAUUUCUGUGAUGAACUACUUUCCAAUUCGGGAGAAGGUAUAAUUACCUCAUGAAAUGUUGGGGAACGUAGCAGAAAUUCAAAAUUUUCCUACGUGUCACCAAGAUCUAUCUAUGGAGAAACCAGCAACGAGGGGAAGGAGAGUGCAUCUACAUACCCUUGUAGAUCGCUAAGCGGAAGCGUUCAAGUGAACGGGGUUGAUGGAGUCGUACUCGUCGUGAUCCAAAUCACCGAUGACCAAGUGCCGAACGGACGGCACCUCUGCGUUCAACACACGUACAGCCCGGUGACGUCUCCCAUGCCUUGAUCCAGCAAGGAGAGAGGGAGAGGUUGAGGAAGACUCCAUCCAGCAGCAGCACAACGGCGUGGUGGUGGUGGAGGAGCGUGGCAAUCCUGCAGGGCUUCGCCAAGCACCUGCGGGAGAAGAGGAGGUGUCACGGGAGGGAGGGAGGCGCCAGGGACUCAGGUAUGGAUGUCCUCCCUCCCCUCCACUAUAUAUUGGGGCAAGGGAGAGGGGGGAGGCGCAGCCUUGCCCCUUCCUCCAAGGAAGGGGUGCGGCCAAGAGGGGGGGAGGAGUCCAUCCUCCCCAAGGCACCUCGGAGGUGCCUUCCCCUUUGAGGACUCUUCCCUCUAGGGUUCCCUAGGCGCAUGGGCCUCUUGGGGCUGGUGCCCUUGGCCCAUGUAGGCCAAGGCGCACCCCCUACAGCCCAUGUGGCCCCCGGGGCAGGUGGCCGCACCCGGUGGGCCCCCGGGACCCUUCCGGUGGUCCCGGUACAAUACCGAUGACCCCGAAACUUGUCCCGAUGGCCGAAACAGGACUUCCUAUAUAUAAAUAUUUACCUCCGGACCAUUCCGGAACUCCUCGUGACGUCCGGGAUCUCAUCCGGGACUCCGAACAACAUUCGGUAACCACAUACAAGCUUCCUUUAUAACCCUAGCGUCAUCGAACCUUAAGUGUGUAGACCCUACGGGUUCGGGAGACAUGCAGACAUGACCGAGAUGUUCUCCGGUCAAUAACCAACAGCGGGAUCUGGAUACCCAUGUUGGCUCCCACAUGUUCCACGAUGAUCUCAUCGGAUGAACCACGAUGUCAAGGACUUAAUCAAUCCCGUAUACAAUUCCCUUUGUCUAUCGGUACGAUACUUGCCCGAGAUUCGAUCGUCGGUAUCCCGAUACCUUGUUCAAUCUCGUUACCGGCAAGUCUCUUUACUCGUUCCAUAACACAUCAUCCCGUGAUCAACCCCUUGGUCACAUUGUGCACAUUAUGAUGAUGUCCUACCGAGUGGGCCCAGAGAUACCUCUCCGUUUACACGGAGUGACAAAUCCCAGUCUCGAUUCGUGCCAACCCAACAGACACUUUCGGAGAUACCUGUAAUGCACCUUUAUAGCCACCCAGUUACGUUGUGACGUUUGGUACACCCAAAGCAUUCCUACGGUAUCCGGGAGUUGCACAAUCUCAUGGUCUAAGGAAAAGAUACUUGACAUUAGAAAAGCUUUAGCAUACGAACUACGAUCUUUGUGCUAGGCUUAGGAUUGGGUCUUGUCCAUCACAUCAUUCUUCUAAUGAAGUGAUCCCGUUAUCAAUGACAUCCAAUGUCCAUGGUCAGGAAACCGUAACCAUCUAUUGAUCAACGAGCUAGUCAACUAGAGGAUUACCAGGGACAGAUUGUGGUCUAUGUAUUCACACGUGUAUUACGAUUUCCGGAUAAUACAGUUAUAGCAUGAAUAAAAGACAAUUAUCAUGAACAAGGAAACAUAAUAAUAAUAAUACUUUUAUUAUUGCCUCUAGGGCAUAUUUCCAACAGUCUCCCACUUGCACUAGAGUCAAUAAUCUAGUUCACAUCGAUAUGUGAUUAACACUCAAGGUCACAUCCCCAUGUGACUAACACCCAAAGAGUUUACUAGAGUCAAUAAUCUAGUUCACAUUACCAUGUGAUUAACACUCGAUGAGUUCUGGGUUUGAUCAUGUUAUGCUUUUGAGAGAUGUUAUAGUCAACGGGUCUGAACCUUUCAGAUCCGUGUGUGCUUUACAAAUCUCUAUGUCAUCUCCUAGAUGUAGCUACCACAUUCUAUUUGGAGCUAUUCCAAAUAACUGUUCUACUUGGAGCUAUUCUAAAUUGUUGCUCCAUUAUACGUAUCCGGUAUCUCUACUCAGAGCUAUCCGGAUAGGUGUUAAGCUUGCAUCGACGUAACCCUUUACGACGAACUCUUUUACCACCUCCAUAAUCGAGAAAAUUCCUUAGUCCACUAGUUACUAAGGAUAACUUUGACCGUUGUCCUGUGAUCCAUUCUUGGAUCACUCUUGUACCCCUUGACUGACUCAUGGCAAGGCACACUUCAGGUGCGGUACACUGCAUAGCAUACUAUAGAGCCUAUGUCUUAAGCAUAGGGGACGACCUUCGUCCUCUCUCUCUAUUCUGCCGUGGUCGAGCUUUAAGUCUUAACUUCAUACGUUACAACUCAGGCAAGAACUCCUUCUUUGACUGAUCCAUCUUGAACACCUUCAAGAUCAUGUCAAGGUAUGUGCUCAUUUGAAAGUACCAUUAAGCGUUUUGAUCUAUCCUUAUAGAUCUUGAUGCUCAAUGUUCAAGUAGCUUAAUCCAGGCUUUCCAUUGAAAAACACUUUUCAAAUAGCUCUGCAUGCUUUCUAGAAAUUCUACAUCAUUUCCGAUCAACAACAUGUUAACAACACAUACUCAUCGGAAAUUUUAUAGUGCUCCCACUCACUUAUUUGGAAAUACAAGUUUCUCAUGAACUUUGUAUAAACCCAAAAUCUUUGAUCAUCUCAUCAAAGCGCACAUUCCAACUCCGAGAUGCUUACUCCAGUCCUUAGAAGGAUUGCUGGAGCUAGCAUACCUUUUAGCAUCCUUAGGAUCGACAAAACCUUUUGGUUGUAUCACAUACAACCUUUCCUCAAGAAAAUCGUCGAGGAAACAAUGAUUUGACAUCCUAUCUGCAAGAUUUCAUAAAUAAUGCAGUAAUCGCUAAUAUAAUUCCAACAAACUCCUAGCAUCGCUACGAGUGAGAAAGUCUCAUCGUAGUCAACUCCUUGAACUUGUCGGAAAACAUCUUAACGACAAGUCGAGCUUUCUUAAUGGUGACAUUUACCAUCAUUGUCCGUCUUCUUCUUAAAGAUCCAUUUAUCUUAAUGGCUUGCCGAUCAUUGGGCAAGUCCACCAAAGUCCAUGCUUUGUUCUGAUACAUGGAUCCUAUCUCGGAUUUCAUGGUUUCUUAACCAUUUGUCGGAAUUUGGGCCCACCAUCGCAUCUCCAUAGCUCGUAGGUUCAUUGUUGUCUAGUAACAUGACCUUUAAGACAGGAUCACCGUACCACUCUGAAGCAGUAUGUGUCCUUGUCGUCCUACGAGGUUCAGUAGUGACUUGAUCCGAAACUUCAUGAUCACUAUCAUAAGUUUCCACUUCAAUUGGUGUAGGUGCCACAGGAACAACUUCCUGUGCCCUGAUACACACUAGUUGAAGUGAUGGUUCAAUAACCUCAUCAAGUCUCCACCAUCCUCCCACUCAACUUUUCGAGAGAAACCUUUCCUCGAGAAAGGACCCGAUUCAAGAAACAAUCCAUAUUGCUUUCGGAUCUGAAUUAGGAGGUAUACCCAACUGUUUUGGGUAUCCUAUGAAGAUGCAUUUUAUCCGCUUUGGGUUCGAGCUUAUCAAUCCUGAAACUUUUCACAUAAGCGUCGCAGCCCCAAACCUUUAAGAAACGACAACUUAGGUUUCUCUAAACCAUAAUUCAUACGGUGUCAUCUUAACGGAAUUACGUGGUGCCCUAUUUAAAGUGAAUGUGGUUGUCUCUAAUGCCUAACCCAUGAACAAUAGUGGUAAUUCGAUAAGAGACAUCAUGGUACGCACCAUAUCCAACAGGGUGCAACUAUGAUGUUCGGACACACCAUCACACUAUGGUGUUCCAGGCGGUAUUAAUUGCGAAACAAUUUCCACAAUGUCUUAAUUGUGUGCCAAAACUCGUAACUCAGAUAUUCAUCUCUAUGAUCAUAUCAUAGACAUUUUAUCCUCUUGUCACAAUGAUCUUCACUCUGAAGUUACUUGAACCAUUCAAUAAUUCAGACUUGUGUUUCAUCAAGAAAAUAUUCUCAACAUCUACUCGAAUCAUCUGUGAAGUAAGAACAUAACGAUAUUCACUGCAUACCUCAGCACUCAUUGGACUGCACACAUCAAAAUGUGUUACUUCCAACGAGUUGCUAUCUUGUUCCGUCUUACUAAAACGAGGCUUUCAGUCAUCUUGCCCAUGUGGUAUGAUUUGCAUGUCUCAAGUGAUUCAAAAUCAAGUGAGUUCAAACGGUCCAUUUGCAUGGAGUUUCUUCAUGCAUAUACACCAAUAGACAUGGUUCGCAUGUCUCAAACUUUUCAAAAAUGAGUGAGUCCAAAGAUCCAUCAACAUGGAGCUUCUUCAUGCAUUUUAUACCGAUAUGACUUACGUGGCAGUGCCACAAGUAGGUGGUACUAUCAUUACUAUAUUUUGGCAUGAACAUGUGUAUCACUACGAUCGAGAUUCCAAUGAACCAUUCAUUUUAGGUGCAAGACCAUUGAAGGUAUUAUUCAAAUAAAUAGAGUAACCAUUAUUCUCUUUAAAUGAAUAACCGUAUUGCGAUAGUCAUAAUCCAAUCAUGUCUAUGCUCAACGCAAACACCAAAUAACAAUUAUUCAGGUUUUAACACCAAUCUUGAUGGUAGAGGGAGCGUGCGAUGCUUGAUCAUAUCAACAUUGGAAACACUUCCAACACAUAUCGUCAGCUCACCUUUAGCUAGUCUCCGUUUAUUCCGUAGCUUUUAUUUCGAGUUACUAACACUUAGCAACCGAACCGGUAUCUAAUACCCUGGUGCUACUAGGAGUACUAGUAAAGUACACAUCAAUACAAUGUAUAUCCAAUAUACUUCUAUCGACCUUGCCAGCCUUCUCAUCUACCAAGUAUCUAGGGUAAUUCUGCUCCAGUGGCUGUUCCCUUUAUUACAGAAGCACUUAGUCUCGGGUUUGGGUUCAACCUUGGGUUUCUUCACUAGAGCAGCAGCUGAAUUGCCGUUUCAUGAAGUAUCCCUUUGUUCCCUUGCCCUUCUUGAAACUAGUGGUUUCACCAACCAUCAACAAUUGAUGCUCCUUCUUGAUUUCUACUUUCGCGGUGUCAAACAUCACGAAUAUCUCAAGGAUCAGCAUAUCUAUCCCUGAUUUGUUAUAGUUCAUCACAAAGCUCUAGCAGCUUGGUGGUAAUGACUUUGGAGAAACAUCACUAUCUCAUCUGGAAGAUCGACUCCCACUCGAUUCAAGUGAUUGUUGCACUCAGACAAUCUGAGCACAAGCUCAACGAUUGAGCUUUUGUCCCUUAGUUUACAGGUUAAGAAAAUCGUCGGAGGUCUCAUACCUCUUGACGUGGGCACGAGCCUGCAAUCCUAAUCUCAGCCCUCGAAACAUCUCAUAUGUUCCGCGAUGUUUCGAAAAAUGUCUUUAGUGCCUCAACUCUAAACCGUUUAACUGAACUAUCACAUAGUUAUCAAAACAUGUAUGUCCGAUGUUCGCAACAUCCACAAACGACGUUUGGGGUUCGGCACACUGAGCAGCGCAUUAAGGACAUAAGCUUUCUACUGUCCGCAUAAUUGCUACUUUCAACUUUCAACUAUAUUUUCUCUAGGAACAUAUCUAAAACAGUAGAACUAAAGCGCGAGCUACGACAUAAUUUGCAAAAUCUUUUUGACUAUGUUCAGGAUAAUUAAGUUCAUCUUAUGAACUCCCACUCAGAUAAACAUCCCUCUGGUCAUCUAAGUGAUUACAUGAUCCGAGUCAACUAGGCCGUGUACGAUCAUCACGUGAGAUGGACUAGUCAUCAUCGGUGAACAUCUUCAUGUUGAUCGUAUCUACUAUACGACUCAUGCUCGACCUUUCGGUCUCCGUGUUCCGAGGCCAUGUCUGUACAUGCUAGGCUCGUCAAGUUAACCCUAAGUGUUUUCGCUGUGUAAAACUGUCUUACACCCGUUGUAUGUGAACGUAAGAAUCCAUCACACCCGAUCAUCACGUGGUGCUUAGAAGCGACGAACUGUAGCAACGGUGCACAGUUAGGGGAGAACACUUCUUGAAAUUGUUGUAAGGGAUCAUCUUAUUUACUAACGUCGUUCUAAGCAAAUAAGAUGCAUAAACAUGAUAAACAUCACAUGAAAUCAAAUAGUGACAUGAUAUGGCCAAUAUCAUUUUGCUCCUUUUGAUCUCCAUCUUCGGGGCUCCAUGAUCAUCAUCGUCACCGGCAUGACACCAUGAUCUCCAUCAUCAUGAUCUCCAUCAUCGUGUCUUCAUGAAGUUGUCACGCCAACGACUACUUCUACUUCUAUGGCUAACGUGUUUAGCAAUAAAGUAAAGUAAUUUACAUGGCGUUGUUCAAUGACACGCAGGUCAUACAAUAAAUAAAGACAACUCCUAUGGCUCCUGCCGGUUGUCAUACUCAUCGACAUGCAAGUCGUGAUUCUUAUUACAAGAACAUGAUCAAUCUCAUACAUCACAUAUAUUCAUCACAUUCUUCUUGGUCAUAUCACAUCACAUAGCAUACCCUGCAAAAAAACAAGUUAGACGUCCUCUAAUUGUUGUUUGCAUGUUUUACGUGGCUGCUAUGGGUUUCUAGCAAGAACGUUUCUUACCUACGCAAAACCACAACGUGAUAUGCCAAUUGCUAUUUACCCUUCAUAAGGACCCUUUUCAUCGAAUCUGUUCCGACUAAAGUGGGAGAGACUGGCACCCGCUAGCCACCUUAUGCACCAAGUGCAUGUCAAUCGGUGGAACCUGUCUCACGUAAGAGUACGUGUAAGGUCGGUCCGGGCCGCUUCAUCCCAUAAUACCGUCGAAACAAGAUUGGACUAGUAACGGUAAGCAUAUUGAACAACAUCAACGCGCACAACUACUUUGUGUUCUACUCGUGCAAAGAAUCUAUGCAAUAGACCUAGCUCAUGAUGCCACUGUUGGGGAACAUAGCAGAAAUUCAAAAUUUUCCUACAUGUCACCAAGAUCUAUCUAUGGAGAAACCAGCAACGAGGGGAAGGAGAGUGCAUCUACAUACCCUUGUAGAUCGCUAAGCGGAAGCGUUCAAGUGAACGGGGUUAAUGGAGUCGUACUCGUCGUGAUCCAAAUCACCGAUGACCAAGUGCCGAACGGACAGCACCUCCGCGUUCAACACACGUACAACCCGGUGACGUCUCCCAUGCCUUGAUCCAGCAAGGAGAGAGGGAGAGGUUUAGGAAGACUCCAUCCAGCAGCAGCACAACGGUGUGGUGGUGGUGGAGGAGCGUGGCAAUCCUGCAGGGCUUCGCCAAGCACCUGCGGGAGAGGAGGAGGUGUCACGGGAGGGAGGGAGGCGCCAGGGACUCAGGUAUGGAUGUCCUCCCUCCCCUCCACUAUAUAUAGGGGCAAGGGAGAGGGGGGAGGCGCAGCCUUGCACCUUCCUCCAAGGAAGGGGUGCGGCCAAGAGGGGGGGAGGAGUCCAUCCUCCCCAAGGCACCUCGGAGGUGCCUUCCCCUUUGAGGACUCUUCCCUCUAGGGUUCCCUAGGCGCAUGGGCCUCUUGGGGCUGGUGCCCUUGGCCCAUGUAGGCCAAGGCGCACCCACUACAGCCCAUGUGGCCCCUGGGGCAGGUGGCCCCACCCGGUGGGCCCCCAGGACCCUUCCGGUGGUCCCGGUACAAUACCGAUGACCCCGAAACUUGUCCCGAUGGCCGAAACAGGACUUCUUAUAUAUAAAUCUUUACCUCCGGACCAUUCCGGAACUCCUCGUGACGUCCGGGAUAUCAUCCGGGACUCCGAAGAACAUUCAGUAACCACAUACAAGCUUCCUUUAUAACCCUAGCGUCAUCGAACCUUAAGUGUGUAGACCCUACGGGUUCGGGAGACAUGCAGACAUGACCGAGAUGUUCUCCGGUCAAUAACCAACAGCGGGAUCUGGAUACCCAUGUUGGCUCCCACAUGUUCCACGAUGAUCUCAUCGGAUGAACCACGAUGUCAAGGACUUAAUCAAUCCCGUAUACAAUUCCCUUUGUCUAUCGGUACGAUACUUGCCCGAGAUUCGAUCGUCGGUAUCCCGAUACCUUGUUCAAUCUCGUUACCGGCAAGUCUCUUUACUCGUUCCGUAACACAUCAUCCCGUGAUCAACCCCUUGGUCACAUUGUGCACAUUAUGAUGAUGUCCUACCGAGUGGGCCCAGAGAUACCUCUCCGUUUACACGGAGUGACAAAUCCCAGUCUCGAUUCGUGCCAACCCAACAGACACUUUCGGAGAUACCUGUAAUGCACCUUUAUAGCCACCCAGUUACGUUGUGACGUUUGGUACACCCAAAGCAUUCCUACGGUAUCCGGGAGUUGCACAAUCUCAUGGUCUAAGGAAAAGAUACUUGACAUUAGAAAAGCUUUAGCAUACGAACUACGAUCUUUGUGCUAGGCUUAGGAUUGGGUCUUGUCCAUCACAUCAUUCUUCUAAUGAAGUGAUCCCGUUAUCAAUGACAUCCAAUGUCCAUGGUCAGGAAACCGUAACCAUCUAUUGAUCAACGAGCUACUCAACUAGAGGCUUACCAGGGACAGAUUGUGGUCUAUGUAUUCACACGUGUAUUACGAUUUCCGGAUAAUACAGUUAUAGCAUGAAUAAAAGACAAUUAUCAUGAACAAGGAAAUAUAAUAAUAAUAAAACUUUUAUUAUUGCCUCUAGGGCAUAUUUCCAACAUGAAAUUCUACUUUCCUCCCACUCACUUCUUUCGAGAGAAACUCCUUUUAUGAAAGUACCCAUUCUUAGCAAUGAAUAUCUUGCCUUCGGAUCUGUGAUAGAAGGUGUACCCAACAGUUUCCUUUGGUAUCCUAUGAAUACGCAUUUUCUCCGAUUUGGGUUUGAGCUUACCAGGCUGAAACUUUUCCACAUAAGCAUUGCAACCCCAUACUAUAAUUAACGAUAGCUUUGGUUUCUUGCCAAACCAUAGUUCAUAUGGCGUCGUCUCAACGGAUUUAGAUGGUGCCCUAUUUAACAUGAAUGCAACUAUCUCUAAUGCAUAACCCCAAAACGAUAGUGGUAAAUUGGUAAGAGACAUCAUAGAUCACACCAUAUCAAAUAAAGUAUGGUUACGGUGUUCGGACACACCAUUACGCUGUGGUGUUCCAGGUGGCGUGAGUUGUGAAACUAUUCCACAUUGUUUUAAAUGAAGGCCAAACUCGUAACUCAAAUGUUCACCUCCACGAUCAGAUUCUAGUAACUUUAUUUUCUUGUUAUGAUGAUUUUCCACUUCACUCUAAAAUUCAUUGAACUUUUCAAAUGUUUCAGAUUUAUGCUUCAUCAAGUAGAUAUACCCAUAUCUUCUCAAAUCAUAUGCGAAGGUUAGAAAAUAAUGAUACCCGCCGCGAGCCUCAACACUCAUCGGACCGCAUACAUCGGUAUGUAUUAUUUCCAAUAAGUCAGUGGCUCGCUCCAUUGUUCCGGAGAAUGGACUCCUAGUCAUCUUGCCCAUGAGGCAUGGUUCGCAAGCAUCAAAUGAUUCAUAAUCAAGUGAUUCCAAAAGUCCAUCUGCAUGGAGUUUCUUCAUGCGCUUUACACCAAUAUGACCUAAACGGUAGUGCCACUAGUAUGUUGCACUAUCAUUAUCAACUUUGCAUCUUUUGGCAUCAAUAUUAUGAAUAUGUGUAUCACUACGAUCGAGAUCCAAUAAACCAUUCACCUUGGGUGUAUGACCAUUGAAGGUUUUAUUCAUGUAAAUAGAAUAACAAUUAUUAUCUGACUUAAAUGAAUAAGCUUAUUGCAAUAAACACGAUCUAACCAUAUUCAUGCUCAACGCAAACACCAAAUAACAUUUAUUUAGGUUCAACACUAAUCCCGAAGGUAGAAGGAGAGUGUGAUGGUGAUCGUAUCAACCUUGGAAUCACUUCUGACACACAUCGUCACUUCGCCCAUAACUAGUCUCUGUUCAUUCUGCAACUCCUGUUCUUAGUUACUAAUCACAGCAACUGAGCCGGUAUGAAAUACACAGGGGUUACUAUGAACACUAGUAAAAUACACAUCAAUAACAUGUAUAUCACAUAUACCUUUGUUCACUUUGCCAUCCUUCUUAUCCGCCAAUUAAUUGGGGUAGUUCCGCUUCCAGUGACCAUUCCCUUUGCAGUAGAAGCACUUAGGUUUAGGCUUAGGUCUAGCUUUGGGCUUCUUCACGGGAGUGACAACUUGCUUGUCAUUCUUCUUGAAGUCCCCUUUCUUUUCCUUUGCCCUUUUCGUGAAACUAGUGAUUUUAUUAACCAUCAACACUUGAUUUUCUUUCUUGAUUUCUACCUUCACCGAUUUUAGCAUUAUGAAGAGCUUGGGAAUCACUUUCCUCAUCCCUUAGAUAUUAUAGUUCAUCAUGAAGUUCCUGUAACUUGGUGAUAGUGACUAGAGAACUCUGUCAAUCACUAUCUUAUGUCGAAGAUUAACUCCCACUUGAUUCAAGCGAUUGUAGUACUCAGACAUUCUGAGCACAUGCUCACCGGUUGAGCUAUUCUCCUCCAUUGUAGGCAAAGUACUUGUCAGAGGUCUCAUACCUCUUGACACGGGCAUGAGUAUGAAAUAGAAAUUUCAACUCUUGAAACAUCUCAUAUGCUCUGUGGCGUUCAAAAUGUUUUUGAAGUCCCGGUUCUAAGCCGUAAAGCAUGGUGCACUAAACUAUCAAGUAGUCAUCAUACUGAGCUUUGUCAAACGUUCAUAACAUUUUGCAUCUGCUCCUGCAAUAGGUCUGUCACCUAGCGGUGCAUCAAGGACAUAAUUCUUCUGUGCAGCAAUGAGGAUAAUCCUCAGAUCACGGACCAAGUCCGCAUCAUUGCUACUAUCAUCUUUCAACUUAUUUUUCUCUAGGAACAUAUCAAAAAAUAAAUAGGGAGCUACAUCAUGAGCUAUUGAUCUACAACAUAAUUUGCAAAUACUAUCAAGACUAAGUUCAUGAUAAAUUAAAGUUCAACUAAUCAUAUUACUUAAGAACUCCCACUUAGAUAGACAUCCCUCUAGUCAUCUAAAUGAUCAUGUGAUCCAUAUCAACUAAACCAUGUCUAAUCAUCACGUGAGAUGGAGUAGUUUUCAAUGGUGAACAUCACUAUGUUGAUCAUAUAUACUAUAUGAUUCACAUUCGACCUUUUGGUCUCAAUGUUCCAAGGCCAUAUCUGCAUAUGCUAGGCUCGUCAAGUUUAACCCAAGUAUUCUGCAUGUGCAAAACUGGCUUGCACUUGUUGUAUGUGAACGUAGAGCUUAUCUCACCCGAUCAUCACGUGGUGUCUCGGCACGACGAACUGUAGCAACGGUGCAUACUCAGGGAGAACACUUAUACCUUCAAAUUUAGUGAUGGAUCAUCUUAUAAUGCUACUACCGUACUAAGCAAAAUAAGAUGCAUAAAGGAUAAACAUCACAUGCAAUCAAAAUAUGUGACAUUAUAUGGCCAUCAUUAUCUUGUGCCUUUGAUCUCGAUCUCCAAAGCACCGUCAAGAUCUCCAUCAUCACCGGCUUGACACCUUGAUCUCCAUCGUAGCAUCGUUGUCGUCUCGCCAACUAUUUCUUCUACGGCUACCGCUACCGUCUAGUGAUAAAGUAAAGCAAUUACAUGGCGGUUGCAUUUCAUACAAUAAAGCGACAACCAUAAGGCUCCUGCCAGUUGCCGAUAACGGUUACAAAACAUGAUCAUCUCAUACAACAAUUUAUAUCUCAUCACGUCUUAACCAUAUCACAUCACAACAUGCCCUGCAAAAACAAGUUAGACGUCCUCUACUUUGUUGUUGCAAGUUUUACAUGGCUGCUAUGGGCUUCUAGCAAAACCAUUCUUACCCUCAAAACCACAACAAUUUUUCAUCAAGUGUGCUGUUUUAACCUUCAGCAAGGACCGGCCGUAGUCAAACUCGAUUCAACUAAAGUUGGAGAAAUAGACACCCGCCAGCCACCUGUGUGCGAAGCACGUCGGUAGAACCAGUCUCAUGAACGCGAUCAUGUAAUGUCGGUCUGGGCCGCUUCAUCCAACAAUACAGCCGAAUCAAAGUAAGACGUUGGUGGUAAGCAAUAUGACCAUUAUCGCCCACAACUAUUUGUGUUCUACUCGUGCAUAUAACAUCUAUGCAUAGACCUGGCUCUGAUACCACUAUUGGUGAACAUAGUAAUUCAAAAAAAUUCCUACGAUCACGCAAGAUCUAACUAGGAGAUGCAUAGCAACAAGAGGGGAGAGUGUGUCCACGUACCCUCAUAGACUAAAAGUGGAAGCGUUUAGUAACACGGUUGAUGUAGUCGAACGUCUUCGCGAUCCAACCGAUCCUAGCACCGAACGUAUGACAAAGAGAAGACUUGGUGUGUCUUUGGGGUGCCCUGCCCACGUAUAUAAAGGAUGGAGGGAGAGAGGCCGACCCUCCUAGGGGCGCGCCAAGUGUAGGGAGUCCUACUAGGACUCCCAAGUCCUAAUAGGAUUCCCUUUCCUUUUUGGAGUAGGAAAGAAGGAAAGGAGGGAGAGGGAGAAGGAAAGGGGGGGGGGGCGGCGCCCCCACCCCUUGUCCAAUUCGGUUUGGGCAGGGGGGAGGGGCGCGCCACCUCGUGGCCCUUCUUCCCUCUCUCCACUAAAGCCCAAUAAGACCCAUUAACUUCCCCCGACGAACUCCUGUAACUCUCUGGUACUCUGAAAAAUACCCAAAUCACUCGGAACCAUUCCGAUGUCCGAAUAUAGCCUUCCAAUACAUCGAUCAUUACCUCUCAAACAUUUCGAGACUCCUCGUGAUGUCCGUGAUCUCAUCCGGGACUCCGAACAAACUUUGGUCAUCAAAUCACAUAACUCAUAAUAUAAAUCGUCAUCGAACGUUAAGCGUGCGGACCCUAUGGGUUCGAGAACUAUGUAGACAUGACCGAGACACAUCUCCGGUCAAUAACGAAUAGCGGAACCUGGAUGCUCAUAUUGGCUCCUACAUAUUCUAUGAAGAUCUUUAUCGGUCAAACCGCAUAACAACAUACGUUAUUCCCUUUGUCAUCGGUAUGUUAGUUGCCCGAGAUUCUAUCGUCGGUAUCAUCAUACCUAGUUCAAUCUUGUUACCGGCAAGUCUCUUUACUCGUUUCUUAAUGCAUCAUCCCGCAACUAACUCAUUAGUCACAUUGCUUGCAAGGCUUAUAGUGAUGUGCAUUACCGAGAGGGCCCAGAGAUACCUCUCCGAUACUCGGAGUGACAAAUCCUAAUCUCGAUCUAUGCCAACUCAACAAAUACCAUCGAAGACACCCGUAGAGCAUCUUUAUAAUCACCCAGUUACGUUGUGACGUUUGAUAGCACACAAAGUGUUCCUCCGGUAUUCGGGAGUUGCAUAAUCUCAUACUUAGAGGAAUACGUAUAAGUCAUGAAGAAAGCAAUAGUAAUAAAACUAAACAAUCAUUUAUGCUCGGCUAACAGAUGGGUCUUGUCCAUCACAUCAUUAUCCUAAUGAUGUGAUGCCGUUCACCAAAUGACAACACAUGUCUAUGAUCAGGAAAGUUAACCAUCUUUGAUUUAACGAGCUAGUCAAGUAGAGGCAUACUAGGGACACUCUGUUUUGUCUAUGUAUUCACACAUGUACUAAUUUUCUGGUUAAUACAAUUCUAGCAUGAAUAAUAAACAUUUAUCAUGAUAUAAGGAAAUAUAAAUAACAACUUUAUUACUGCCUCUAGGGCAUAUUUCCUUCAGUGGUAGCGGGGGUCGUGAAGAAGCAGAUUGGGAGGAUCAAACUUGGGGGCCUAUACCUAACUGUAGCGACCCGACCUCAAAUGGUCAAGCCUCUGUGUAUCUGUGCCAUCCCUGGAUCAAUAUGCUGGCACAUACAGUACGUCAGUGUAAAUAUGAAAGUGUAAUCACAUGUAUAAAUAACGUAAUCUGAUAUAUAUAUAUACCUCAUAAAUCUCAGCAAAAACAAUCAAACGGGCGUGGAGUCCCAUCAACGCCAUCGGCAAGUUGAGUGUAGACUGUAAUCCUGUACCGUAUUAUUACUUGUCGGAAGAAAAGUAUCUACAACAUGAAACAUUGUAGCCAUGAAGGUUAGUACAUUGAAUGUACCGACAAGAUCACUAUAAGAAAAUAGAUGAUAAAACUAUACUAUAUGCAAUAUGGCUUUGUGGCUAUGUGUUUGAGUUUUUGCAUAAAAGCUGGUUUUAUUUUCCCCUACAUUAAAGGAAUAUCAAGAGUCUGUACUAUGGAGUUUUUCUAUCUUGACAUGGUUCCGCCAACCGACGUCUCAUAGCCCAUAUCAUCAUAAAUUGCCCACGAUUAAGUUUUCGAUCUGGUGUUGAGAGUUCCAAGAUAGAUCCAUGUCCAGAGGCUCAAUUUUUCUGUAACCGGGGACACAGUAAUCGACUAGGUUUUAACUCUGCAGAGUGUUGUGCACUUUACCCGCAAGAUUCGAUCCCUCCUUUUUACGUUCUCGCACUUCAGGGUGUUUGAGAACAAGAUGACCGAAGCAUGGUCUUCCGAAGAGUUCCUCUGACCUCUGGCCACUGUCCGAUGCUCAUCCAAUCCUACAGUAGUUCUACAUCUGCUAGCACUGUCCCAGCUAGAGUCACCACUAAGGUCAACCAAGCCUGAGCCCAUAGUGACUUCGGUUGCACAUGUAAGCUUCAGAGCAUGAAGUAUUCUUUCGUCUCUUUGAGCUUGGGUGGAGCUUUCCGCAUGAUAUCAUGGCGCUUCUUCGGAAUCACUGAGUACUGGACGCACCAAUGUACCCUUCUUAACCAUUCUCCACCCAGAGGUAUAUUGAAUUCUUUUCUUGAGUCUUGAAGUCUUGAGGCCUUGAAGAUGUAGUCCUUGCCGAUGCCAUCAUGGAGCUGUCGUCAUUGACGUAGAGUCCUCCUUCUUCACACCACUCCCGAACACUCAUACCAACCCCGUCUACUAUAGCAUAGCAUUUAAAACUAAACAACGUCCUGGGCUUGGUAGCAGGGUGAUGGGUUCCUACCUCAUGCAUGCUACUCAACUACAAGAAUUCAAUACACUACUGGAGGGAAUAUGACCGGUGACACUAAAUGCAAUAAAAACAUAGGUAUGAAUAACAUGGUCAAAGUGAACUUUCCUGGUAAGUUGAUGAAGAUAAUAACGCUCUCGAAAAUAACUUGAUGGAACUAUUCGUCACUCCGUUGAAAUCUAUACAAUCAAACAUUGUAUUCACAUAAGCAACAAUUCUAGCAAUCAAUUCUAUCAAUCAAGAUAACAAUAAAAAAACAAUAAAUAAAUCCAUAAUGAAAUCAAAGAAAACCAAAUAGAAUUCCAAAGAAAACUUCAAGAAACCAAGGGGGAAACCAACUCAUAUAGUAACAGUCAAUACUUCGAUAAUAAAACUAAAUUACUCUAACAACUUUUCUACAGCAAAGAAAUCUAAUUCUAAUGAAACAACAGAAAAUAAUUUACUAAAGCAUUUACUAGCAAAAAGAACUAGUAUGAAAACUAUUAUAACUAACUAGUUAACACCAGAACAACUAUAACAACUAGCAAAACACUAAGACAAUAGUAAACAAUACUGAAACCAUCAUGAAACUAAUUUACUCCUAAAUAACAGAAUCAAUAACAAUAUAACUUGAAGUGGCAAAAAUAAUUAAUUUUAAAACUAAUAAAACUAUUUUUAUCAACUAUCAUUCUGAACUAAACAAGCAAAUACAAAAGCAGUAGAUAAACACUAAUAAAUAACCGCAAAAAAUUUAUCUACUGUAGUUGUAACACCCCGGAUGUAAUUUACCUUAUAUGUAUCCCAACUCUUGCCAUUUCCGGCCUAAGUUAUUUCAUUUCGUCGUUGUCGGGUUUUUGUCUCCGUGUGUUGUUGUCUUUGUCAUGCAUCUCGUAUCAUGUCAUCAUGUGCAUUACAUUCGCAUAUGUGUUCGUCUCAUGCAUCCAAGCAUUUUCCCCGUUGUCCGUUUUGCAUUCCGGCGCUCCUAUGUACUCCGGUGGUCCUUUCUACCUCUUUUCGUGUGUGGGGGUUAAACAUUUCUGGAUUGGACCGAGACUUGUCAUGCGGCCUUGGUUUACUACCGCUAGACCGCCUGUCAAGUUUCGUGCCAUUUGGAAUUCGUUUGAUACUCCAAUGGUUAACGAGGGACCGAAAAGGCCUCGUGUGUGUUGCAUCCCAACACCUCUCCAAACUGGCCCAAAACCCACCUAAACCCUUUCUAUCAUCUAGAGCAUUCGAUCAGGAUCGCGUGGCUGAAAACCGCACCUCAUUUGGAGCUUCGUAGCUCCCUCUACGCCUAUAAAUAGACUCCCAUUCCCACAUCCCGGAUUUCCUCCCACGAAACCCUAAAAAUUCCCUCUCCGUGCGCCGGACGUGUCCGGUCCUUGCCGGACAGCGUCCGCCCUUGCCUCCACGCCAAUCGGGCUGCGCCAAGUGGCGCGCCGCCAUUCCCUCCGUCGCCGGCCCGCGAGGCCCAGUGCAGGCCCUCCUCCUUCGUCGCCCGGGCCGCCGCCCCAGCGCGCCNNNNNNNNNNNNNNNNNNNNNNNNNNNNNNNNNNNNNNNNNNNNNNNNNNNNNNNNNNNNNNNNNNNNNNNNNNNNNNNNNNNNNNNNNNNNNNNNNNNNNNNNNNNNNNNNNNNNNNNNNNNNNNNNNNNNNNNNNNNNNNNNNNNNNNNNNNNNNNNNNNNNNNNNNNNNNNNNNNNNNNNNNNNNNNNNNNNNNNNNNNNNNNNNNNNNNNNNNNNNNNNNNNNNNNNNNNNNNNNNNNNNNNNNNNNNNNNNNNNNNNNNNNNNNNNNNNNNNNNNNNNNNNNNNNNNNNNNNNNNNNNNNNNNNNNNNNNNNNNNNNNNNNNNNNNNNNNNNNNNNNNNNNNNNNNNNNNNNNNNNNNNNNNNNNNNNNNNNNNNNNNNNNNNNNNNNNNNNNNNNNNNNNNNNNNGCCCCGCGCCGCCUUCGCUGCUCCGGCGCCGCCGCCUCGACGCCGGCCAUCGCCAACGGAGCUCCGCGCCCUCAGCUCAACUCCGGCGACGCACCACCGCCACCUCGCCGCCCCUCGCCGCUCGCGCCGACGCAGGUGAGCUUCGGCCGGCGAGCCCCUCCACUCUGGCGCCAAGUUCAACUCCGGCCACCGCGCCUCCGUUCCGGCGAUCAUUGUUUUCCGUGCGAUCCCGAUCUGGAUCUGGAUCCGACUUCGCGGUUGACUUUUCGUUCCCAAACCCUAGUUUAUUUGCAUUUUUCCGUAUGCCAUAACUCACUCAUCGUAGAUCCGAUUUGUGCGUGCAGCAUAUCAAAAUGUUCGUCUCGUCAAUUACAUCAUUUCAUCUCAUUGAAUCAUUUUCAUUUGAGCUCAUCUUGAUGCCCGAAAUGCUGUCAGAAGAGGGCUAUGUGAGGAAUUUGUCAGAUCUGUUUCAGCAAUUAGCCUUUUGUCAUUUUUGCCAUGAUUAAUGUGUGCAUGCUAUGAUCCUGAGCUCUACAUGUGUUUUGAUGAAUGCCAUGUCAUCUUUAAAGAGGUGCUUGCCAUGUAUUUUUGUGAUAUUUGUGGUGACUAGCACAAGCUUGCAAAGUAGCGUAAUCGGUAAUUCUGAUUUCAGGGACUUAGUUUUUCACUAAGUCCUUGUUCUGUUUUUGUUGUUAUGCCAUAUGUUUAUACUGUUUCCUAGUAAUACAUGCCUCUUUUGAGGAUGAUCAGUAAGGAUGUUUUGUUAAUAUUGUGGUGCUCUAUCGAACAAUGUCUUUUUUUGCAUUUAUGGAGCACCCUAGCUUGAGUCAAUCGAGCUCUACUUUUGCUAUAAAAUGAUCCUGGCAGAUUGUUGACAUGUUUAGCGAUUUUGCCGAGGAUGUUGCUAUUGAUCCGUGCAUGCUAUGAUGUUUUUUUUGCCAUGUCUAGCUUCUAUGCCAUGUCUUCUUCAUGGGUGUAUGCUUAGUUUGUCAUGACAUGCUCUGUAGGUAGUGUAUCGAGCUCGUAAAUAUGUCUACUCGUUAACUGUUUUGCAUGCUCCAGUUUUUCACUAAGUCUAAAUCUGUUUAUGAUUUUGCCAUGUUCACAUGCUUGCAAUUGUAUUUUCUGAUCCCUUUUGGCUCAAGGUCACUAAGGGACUUUUGUUAAGUGCUUUGAGUAGCUUCAUGUCAUGCCUUGCUUUUCCAUGUUAAGUUCCUGUAGCUUGUAGUUUUCAUGCUCUAAAGUGUGCUUCCUAGCGAUAAAUUUCAGACUUGUGUUAAUUUCACUAAGUCUGAAACCUGUUAUCAUUUGCACUUUUGCCAUGCUUGUUUGAACCUGUUAAUGGAUGAACUAGCCAUAGCUUAGUGUUCAUCUUUUGUCAAGCAUCAUGAGUGGAUCCCUGCCAUGUAUUUUGUUGCCAUGUUUGAGUGUUGUAGCAUAUUUAUCUUGAUGCAUUUAGUUGGUCACUUGCUGAUUAUCGCAGACCGGUGCCAUAUUUGUUUUGCUUGCCAUUUCCAAACCGUGCAUCCGAUUCCGGUGAUCUUUAUAUCAAUUUCAACCGAAAUCACCUAACCUUUCUAGUGGCACUCUUGGAUUUCCAAGUUGAGGCCAGGUUCAAUCAUUCCUUGUCAAAUCUUGCAUAUGCAUCACAUACCGCAUCUCGCAUAUCAUACCGUGUUUGCAUCAUGUUGUUUGAGCAUUGCACGUGGUUGAUUGUGUUCCAUUUGCUUGUUGUUCUUGUUUGGGUAGAGCCGGGAGACGAGUUCAUGAAUGAGGAGCCCGCUGAGUUCGCAUACGAGGAUCAAGUCAACUCUGACAACUUUGUAGGCAAGAUGACCAUACCCCCGAAAUCACUUCUAUCUUUGCUUGCUAGAUGCUCGCUCUUUUGCUAUGCCUAUGCUACGAUACCUAACACCCUCCCAUAUUGCCAUGUCAAACCUCUAACCCACCAUGUCCUAGCAAACCGUUGUUUGGCUAUGUUACCGCUUCGCUCAGCCCCUCUUAUAGCGUUGCUAGUUGCAGGUGAAGAUUGGAGAUCGUUCCUUGUUGGAACAUGUUUAUUGUUGGGAUAUCACCAUAUUAUCUUGUUAUCUUAAUGCAUCUAUAUACUUGGUAAAGGGUGGAAGGCUCGACCUUAUGCCUAGUGUUUUGUUCCACUCUUGCCGCCCUAGUUUCCGUCAUAUCGGUGUUAUGUUCCCGGAUUUUGCGUUCCUUACAUGGUUGGGUUAUAAUGGGAACCCCUUGACAGUUUGCCUUGAAUAAAACUCCUCCAUCAAUGUCCAACCUUGGUUUUACCAUUUGCCACCUAGCCUCUUUUUCCCUUGGGUUUCCGGAGCCCGAGGGUCAUCUUUAUUUAAACCCCCCGGGCCAGUGCUCCUCUGAGUGUUGGUCCAAACUAGAGCCCUGUGCAGCGCCCCCUCGGGGAAACUCGAGGUUUGGUUUUAGUUGUAUGGAGCGCUCAUCUGAGCGUGCCUUGAGAACGAGAUAUGUGCAGCUCCUAUCGGGAUUUGUCGGCACAUUCGGGCAGUGUUGCUGGACUUGUUUUACCAUUGUCGAGGAUGUCUUGUAACCGGGAUGCCGAGUCUGAUCGAAAUGUCUCGGGAGAAGGAAUAUCCUUCAUUGACCGUGAGAGCUUGUGAUGGGCUAAGUUGGGACUCCCCUGCAGGGAUUUGAACUUUCGAAAGCCGUGCCCGCGGUUAUGGGCAGAUGGGAAUUUGUUAAUGUCCGGUUGUAGAUAACUUGAAACUUAACUUAAUUAAAAUGAACCAACCGCGUGUGUAACCGUGAUGGUCUCUUCUCGGCAGAGUCCGGAAAGUGAACACGGUGUUGGAGUAAUGCUUGACGUAGGUUGUUCUAGGAUCACUUCUUGAUCAUAGUUGUUCGUCCGUGCUUUUGCCUUCUCUUCUCGCUCUCAUUUGUGUAUGUUAGCCACCAUAUAUGCUAGACGCUUGCUGCAGCUCCACAUCAUACCUUGCCUUACCUAUAAGCUUAAAUAGUCUUGAUCGCAAGGGUGUGAGAUUGCUGAGUCCCCGUGACUCACAGAUUACUUCCAAACCAUAUGCAGGGACCGAUGAUACCACUCUAGACGAUGCGCUUGAGCUCAAGUGGGAGUUCGAUGAAGACUCUCGUUGUUACUAUGUGUCUUUCCCAGAUGAUUAGUAGUGGUGCCCGGUUGGGGCGAUCGGGGACCAUGUCGCAUGUGGGGGUUGAUCUUUAUUUUGGUUCCGUAGUCGGACCAUGAGUGUUUUGGAUGAUUGUAAUGUUAUUCAUGUAUUUGUGUGACAUGGCGAGUGUAAGCCAGGUAUGUAUCUUUUUUCCUCUUUUAUUUAUUUACAUGGGUUGUUGUGAAGAUUACCUUACUUGCGACAUAGCUUUCAAUGCGGUUAUGCCUCUAAGUCGUGCUUCGACACGUAGGAGAUAUAGCCGCAUCGAGGGCGUUACAGUAGUCCAACAGAAACAUAUAACUACAUGUGAAAAUCUACAAAAAGAAUUAACUAAAAAUAAUUAAAAACACUAACUAGAUGACUAAAACAACUAUUUAAACAAAACAACACUGUUUUAGCUAAAAACAUAAUUUAAUAUAAACUAAAAAUAACUAACUAAAUGCUACUGGAUAGGCAAAACAAUAAAAAAGCAGUAGCAAAAAGAAUGAAUCAAAAAUCUAUUCUAGAAUUCAAACUAGAGCCAAAGGUGUGUUUGAAGAAUAUUUGAAAUAAUUCAAAAUUAAAUUACUCAAAUUUGAAAACUAAAGGCCUGUUCGGAAGCUCUCCCGUCCCUUAACUCCGAUCCGCUCGAGGAGUUGGUUUCAAGUCGCUCCUUGCUUUUGUGCUGGCGCUCCCUACGCUUCGGGAGCUACUAUAGGGGAGCGGAGAGGAUCCGAACAUGCCUUAAGUACGCAAACAUAAACUUCAAAAAAUUUGUGACACAUUGCAAGAAGAAUCACUCAAUUUGGAUCUAAAACAUAAAAGUUAUUGAUUUUCUAAAAACAGAACUACUCAGUUUUUUAAAAAAGAAACGCAAAAAAAAA